CCUACGGGGCGCAGCAGUGAGGAAUAUUGGUCAAUGGACGAGAGUCUGAACCAGCCAAGUAGCGUGAAGGAUGACUGCCCUAUGGGUUGUAAACUUCUUUUAUAUGGGAAUAAAAUGUUCCACGUGUGGGAUUUUGUAUGUACCAUAUGAAUAAGGAUCGGCUAACUCCGUGCCAGCAGCCACGGUAAUACGGAGGAUCCGAGCGUUAUCCGGAUUUAUUGGGUUUAAAGGGAGCGUAGGUGGAUUGUUAAGUCAGUUGUGAAAGUUUGCGGCUCAACCGUAAAAUUGCAGUUGAAACUGGCAGUCUUGAGUACAGUAGAGGUGGGCGGAAUUCGUGGUGUAGCGGUGAAAUGCUUAGAUAUCACGAAGAACUCCGAUUGCGAAGGCAGUUCACUGGACUGCAACUGACACUGAGGCUCGAAAGUGUGGGUAUCAAACAGGAUUAGAUACCCUGGUAGUC
rnacentral:rRNA from 1 species